ACGCUCGACACCUACGGGAAGGCAGCAGUGGGGAAUAUUGCACAAUGGGGGAAACCCUGAUGCAGCAACGCCGCGUGAAGGAAGACGGUUUUCGGAUUGUAAACUUCUGUUCUUAGUGAAGAUAGUGACGGUAGCUAAGGAGCAAGCCACGGCUAACUACGUGCCAGCAGCCGGCGGUAAUCUGAGGCGGGCUGGACAAGGC
rnacentral:rRNA from 1 species